GGGCCCAUGGUCUAGAGGUUAUGACACCUGUCUCACACACAGGAGGUCGCCGGUUCGAAUCCGGCUGGGCCCACCA
rnacentral:tRNA from 1 species